rnacentral:rRNA from 1 species
GAUGAACGCUGGCGGCGUGCCUAAUACAUGCAAGUCGAGCGAACAGACGAGGAGCUUGCUCCUCUGACGUUAGCGGCGGACGGGUGAGUAACACGUGGAUAACCUACCUAUAAGACUGGGAUAACUUCGGGAAACCGGAGCCAAUACCGGAUAAUAUAUUGAACCGCAUGGUUCAAUAGUGAAAGACGGUUUUGCUGUCACUUAUAGAUGGAUCCGCGCCGCAUUAGCUAGUUGGUAAGGUAACGGCUUACCAAGGCAACGAUGCGUAGCCGACCUGAGAGGAUGAUCGGCCACACUGGAACUGAGACACGGUCCAGACUCCUACGGGAGGCAGCAGUAGGGAAUCUUCCGCAAUGGGCGAAAGCUUGACGGAGCAACGCCGCGUGAGUGAUGAAGGUCUUCGGAUCGUAAAGCUCUGUUAUUAGGGAAGAACAAAUGUGUAAGUAACUAUGCACGUCUUGACGGUACCUAAUCAGAAAGCCACGGCUAACUACGUG